CGCUGCCCAGCGCCGGCCCUGGCAGGGAGCCUGGUGGGGUGGCGGAGGGGGAGACUGUGCCGUGGAGGGCCUCGCCAUGUCCUGCUGCCCGACUUCCUUGUGAAACCUCCUAGUAGAAAAAGUUCUUGGGACAAACUUCAUUUGACCUCACCAUAAGGGAAAGAAGAGAGCCUUGUUGGACACUGAAGAAGGGACGGGGAUUUCUCCUCCUAAUCUGGGCCUCUUGUCAUGGAUGAAGAGACUCGGCACAGCCUUGAGUGCAUCCAGGCCAAUCAGAUCUUUCCCAGGAAGCAGCUGAUCCGGGAGGAUGAGAAUCUUCAGGUUCCUUUCCUUGAACUUCAUGGAGAGAGCACAGAGUUUGUGGGCCGUGCCGAGGAUGCCAUCAUUGCCCUUUCCAAUUACAGACUUCACAUCAAGUUCAAGGAGUCUCUUGUUAAUGUGUCAGUUUUCAACCUUUGAGCAGUGUCAAGAGUGGCUGAAGAGACUGAACAACGCAAUCCGACCACCUGCUAAAAUAGAAGAUCUCUUCUCAUUUGCAUACCAUGCUUGGUGCAUGGAGGUCUAUGCCAGUGAAAAAGAGCAACAUGGAGACCUGUGCAGACCA
rnacentral:sRNA from 1 species